AUUGAACGCUGGCGGCAUGCCUUACACAUGCAAGUCGAACGGCAGCACGGGUGCUUGCACCUGGUGGCGAGUGGCGAACGGGUGAGUAAUUCAUCGGAACGUACCUUAUCGUGGGGGAUAACGCAGCGAAAGCUGUGCUAAUACCGCAUACGCCCUGAGGGGGAAAGCGGGGGAUCGCAAGACCUCGCGCGAUUAGAGCGGCCGAUGCCUGAUUAGCUUGUUGGUGGGGUAAAAGCCCACCAAGGCGACGAUCAGUAGCUGGUCUGAGAGGACGAUCAGCCACACUGGGACUGAGACACGGCCCAGACUCCUACGGGAGGCAGCAGUGGGGAAUUCUGGACAAUGGGGGCAACCCUGAUCCAGCAAUGCCGCGUGAGUGAAGAAGGCCUUCGGGUUGUAAAGCUCUUUUGUCAGGGAAGAAACACCGGCUCUAACACAGUCUGGGAAUGACGGUACCUGAAGAAUAAGCACCGGCUAACUACGUGCCAGCAGCAGCCGCGG
rnacentral:rRNA from 1 species